rnacentral:rRNA from 1 species
AUUGAACGCUGGCGGAAUGCUUUACACAUGCAAGUCGAACGGCAGCACGGGGGCAGUCCUGGUGGCGAGUGGCGAACGGGUGAGUAAUACAUCGGAACGUGCCCGGUCGUGGGGGAUAACGUAGCGAAAGUUACGCUAAUACCGCAUACGAUCUGAGGAUGAAAGCGGGGGACCUUCGGGCCUCGCGCGAUCGGAGCGGCCGAUGUCAGAUUAGGUAGUUGGUGGGGUAAAGGCCUACCAAGCCGACGAUCUGUAGCUGGUCUGAGAGGACGACCAGCCACACUGGGACUGAGACACGGCCCAGACUCCUACGGGAGGCAGCAGUGGGGAAUUUUGGACAAUGGGCGCAAGCCUGAUCCAGCCAUCCCGCGUGCAGGACGAAGGCCUUCGGGUUGUAAACUGCUUUUGUACGGAACGAAAAGGCUCUGGCUAAUACCUGGGGCUCAUGACGGUACCGUAAGAAUAAGCACCGGCUAACUACGUG